GGAUUACUCCUUUACGCUUUCGCGUUUGGUUGAUAAAGAUUCGCACCUCUAUCAAACCGGGUAAUCCCACCUCUUGGCAAGACCUGCUGUCAGAUCAAAUCUGAACUACUACACCUCAUCAUUGCAAAUGUAGUGAAGUCAUCCAUUUUUCUAUGAUAAACAUCCGGGCUCUGUUCUGAGCCCGGAUAUUCGUUU
rnacentral:sRNA from 20 species